ACUCCUACGGGAGGCAGCAGUGGGGAAUUUUGGACAGUGGGGGAAACCCUGAUCCAGCCAUGCCGCGUGAGUGAAGAAGGCCUUCGGGUUGUAAAGCUCUUUCAGCCGGAACGAAACGAUCACGGCUAAUACCCGUGAUCACUGACGGUACCGGAAGAAGAAGCACCGGCUAACUACGUGCCAGCAGCCGCGGUAAU
rnacentral:rRNA from 1 species